rnacentral:rRNA from 1 species
UUAGAUACCCUACUAUGCUUGGCAGAAACAAGGCCGAGACAGACACUUUGGCCCGCCAGAUUAUUACAAGUAAAAACUUAAAACUCAAAGGACUUGACGGUGUCCCACAUACAACCUAGAGGAGCCUGUCCUAUAAUCGAUAACCCACGAAUGACCUAACCACUUUUUGCCCAACAGCCUAUAUACCGCCGUCGAAAGUCCACCCUACGAAGGAAGUAAAGUGAACAAAAUAGCCCAACACUAAUACGUCAGGUCAAGGUGUAGUUAAUAAAGUGGUCAGAGAUGGGCUACAUUUCUUUUUAAAGGAAAAACGAAUGAUUAAAUGAAACCUUAAUCAGAAGGAGGAUUUAGUAGUAAAACAGGAUCAGCACGCCUGCUUGAACACACUGCCCUGGGACGCGUACACACCGCCCGUCACCCCCAUCAUAUACACCCAAAACCCAUAAAUAAAAACACAGUAUAAUAGAGAUUGGGUAAGUCGUAAC